GAAGGGGACUGUGGUGAGCUCCAUCCAUCACACAUACAUCAAGGCAGAAGGGCUGGGCUGGAGCUGAGCCACAGACUUAACUGUGGUCAAAGGAGAAAUACCUAUCUUUCUAGUUGAAAGGACAUUUCUAAUUUUACCAUUGUGUUUGGUUGUGGUUUAGCUCAUGACAUAUAAUUUAUUUAAUAUGAAAUAUAUUUAAGUGGCCUAGCCUCAAGUGAUCCUCCCUCCUUGGCCUCCCAAAGGGUCAGGAUUACAGGUGUCUGAGAAUGGGAGCUGAGGCCCCAGCAAGGGACAACCACCAACACUUUGGCCCACAAUGAGGUACCCCCCUUUUUAAACAGGAGGGAUUUAAACAAGGUUUGAGUCCACUUUGGCCCACAAUGAGGCCUCGAGCUGCCCAUAGAGUUCUUCUUUCAAGGAGCAGUCUCCAGCCAGUUCCUGGAGGGGCUUCACUUACCCCCACUCCCCUGGGAGAGGGGCUCAGUUAGGGCAGGCUGUGAGCGGAGCCCAAGU
rnacentral:lncRNA from 10 species